ACUCAAAGGAAUUGACGGGGGCCCGCACAAGCGGUGGAGCAUGUGGUUCAAUUCGACGCAACGCGAAGAACCUUACCGGGGUUUGAACUGUACGGGAAAGCUGCAGAGAUGUGGCCUUCCUUCGGGACCCGUAUAGAGGUGCUGCAUGGCUGUCGUCAGCUCGUGUCGUGAGAUGUUGGGUUAAGUCCCGCAACGAGCGCAACCCUUGCCUCCUGUUGCCAACGGGUAAAGCCGGGCACUCUGGAGGUACUGCCGGCGAUAAGCCGGAGGAAGGUGGGGAUGACGUCAAGUCCUCAUGGCCUUUAUGCCCCGGGCCACACACGUGCUACAAUGGCUGGUACAGAGGGUCGCAAAACCGCGAGGUGGAGCUAAUCCCAAAAAACCAGUCCCAGUUCGGAUUGGAGUCUGCAACUCGACUCCAUGAAGUUGGAAUCGCUAGUAAUCGCGGAUCAGCACGCCGCGGUGAAUACGUUCCCGGGCCUUGUACACACCGCCCGU
rnacentral:rRNA from 1 species